UACGUAGGGGGCAAGCGUUGUCCGGAUUUAUUGGGCGUAAAGAGCGUGUAGGCGGCCAGAUAGGUCCGUUGUGAAAACUCGAGGCUCAACCUCGAGACGCCGAUGGAAACCAUCUGGCUAGAGUCCGGAAGGGGAGAGUGGAAUUCCUGGUGUAGCGGUGAAAUGCGCAGAUAUCAGGAAGAACACCCGUGGCUAAGGCGGCUCUCUAGUACGGUACUGACGCUGAGACGCGAAAGCGUGGGGAGCGAACAGG
rnacentral:rRNA from 1 species